UCAAAUGCUGGAUGCAGACACUUAUUCGUAUUUCAUUAUACCAUAAUUAAUGGCUUAUAAGACACAUGGACUCAAUAAGACGCACCUCAGUUUGGGCAGGCAUAAAAAAAAAAAAAAAAGGUAAGUAAACAGGUUUAAGCUCUGAAUAUGAAGUGAAGGGUUUCACCUGACAUUUGAAGCCCUCUUAUAUGUAUUCAGAUCCUUAUUAGAUCUCAAUAUUUUACAUUUAAAAAACCUUAAUAUUUGCUAGGACCUACCAACACUAGUACUUAGACUAAUCCUGCUGUGAGAUGUAAACAAAUGUGGCAUAGACAGUGACAUUGUCAGAGGCCAGAUUGUAAUAAAGUUUGUACAUCACAUUUUUUUAUCAUCAUUCUACACAUGAUCCUAGUUGUAUAUUUUAGUACAUUUUCAAAGCAUAAGGAUGUGUGAAAACAGAUUCACCUUAUUCUCUACAAUGUAUUUUUUUUUGAAAUAUUCAGUACAAACCAUCACCAUGAGUCGCCCUACUUCAUGACACUCUCUUCACUUAUAAAAUCUUUUAUUUUGUUAGGUAGUAAGCUAUUUUUUAAGAAUGCAAUAGUUUCUCAUUAGCUUCAAGUUUUGUUGAACAUGUAUGCAAGGUAAGAAUCUUAAAAGAUAGGUACAAUUCCAGUUGUAUGGAGGUGUGUCUUACCUCAAGGAAUAAUGGCAUCAUACUAAGAAACGCAGUGAAUCCUGCAGUUGUCACCAGGUUUGGUUUGCAACCAACUGCAAGUUUGUUUUGGUACAUGAAAUGUAAGAGUCAUCACCUAAUUUCUUCCUGACUGGUGUUAUUUUAUGUGAAUUACUAGUAAGUAUGACCUGUUAUGCAUUGUUAUCUUGUAAAAAAGAGUUGUUUUUGUGGUAUAGAAUUGAUCAUCACUUUGUUUAUGUAUGUGAAGAUGUUUGGGAUUUAAUCUAAGGGCCACUGUUGCCACAGACUUACCACUGGCCACUGUCCCAAAGCUGAACCUUGGUCUUAUAAGAUGCAGGCUCAUUUUCUGAGACUUUUUUGGGGGAGAAAAAAGGUGCAUUUUAUGUCAUCAAAAACAAUAUUUUGUUCAUUCGUAGAUAUCAUUUGCAAGACUUCCAAAAUAAUGUUAAUGAUUGCAUACAUAUUUUAAACAUUUGCAACAUGCAUUCUGGAGCCAGUUCCCACCCAGUCCUUCUCACCACCUCUCCCACCACACUGCUCUUCUCCACUCAGUGUUAUUACUCCACAUCAACAGGCCAUCACUAGCAGACCUCUUGGGUGGUUUCCAAGACCCCAGCUUGGCCUUCAAGACACUUAAUCAUACCAGGGUCUUCCUCCAGCAGCUCACCAGAAUAUAACUGGAUAACUUGCCUGCUGCCAGCACCUCCAGGCCUCUGGAGGUUGUGGCACCACAGCCUGCACAGCCCCUCAAAUCCCCAACAAGAACAAGAACACAACAGGGUAGUGGGAGUGAUGGCUUCAAGACACACUGCCACUGUACAGGGCAGCUGUUACUCUUGUACAUCAUGUGCUGCUUACAAGACUGUGCCUAAAAAUCUGAGAGGAAAAAGUAAAAGCUCACAGGACUGGUUGACGAGACAGCUAAAUGACCCUUAUGUGAAGUUGACCAAGCAACAUCAGUGCAGGCAUUGUCCAUGAUGCUUCCUGUGUUGUGGUUCCAUCAUGGCAGGCAUGGAAGUGCCUCUCACUGCAUAACCGCCUCAUGAUCAUUGAGAGCAUGGACACAGACACUGAGGCCCUAGUGGGUACGUGGACCUCCUCAAUGGACAGAUGGACAGAGGCUGGUGUGCUGGCUACAUGUAUCAGGAGCAAAUCUCAACCUUCUUCUCCAUUGUGGCAACAGGGAUGACAUAUGAGAUGGCCAUGACCAGCAUGCCCCUUCAGG